rnacentral:lncRNA from 1 species
AAUUACCCAUUUUCCAGUUAACCCAGAAACUGAUUUGCAGAAAACAUUUGCAGAAAACUACCCAUUUGCAGAAACCCUUAACAAUCAAAACUAAAAUUACAAAAUAACUGAAAUAAAAACUUAAUCAAAGAAACAAAAAAAAUAGAUCAAGAAAGUAGAGGAGGAAAAACAUAAAGGAGGAAAAACAGCAGAGAAAAGGAGGAAAGG